UCCAGCCAUGCCGCGUGUGUGAAGAAGGCCUUUUGGUUGUAAAGCACUUUAAGCAGUGAAGAAGACCUAACGGUUAAUACCCGUUAGCGAUGACAUUAGCUGCAGAAUAAGCACCGGCUAACUCUGUGCCAGCAGCCGCGGUAAUACAGAGGGUGCAAGCGUUAAUCGGAAUUACUGGGCGUAAAGCGAGCGUAGGUGGCUUGAUAAGUCAGAUGUGAAAUCCCCGGGCUUAACCUGGGAACUGCAUCUGAUACUGUUAAGCUAGAGUAGGUGAGAGGGAAGUAGAAUUCCAGGUGUAGCGGUGAAAUGCGUAGAGAUCUGGAGGAAUACCGAUGGCGAAGGCAGCUUCCUGGCAUCAUACUGACACUGAGGCUCGAAAGCGUGGGUAGCAAACAGGAUUAGAUACCCUGGUAGUCCACGCCGUAAACGAUGUCUACUAGUCGUUGGGUCCCUUGAGGACUUAGUGACGCAGCUAACGCAAUAAGUAGACCGCCUGGGGAGUACGGCCGCAAGGUUAAAACUCAAAUGAAUUGACGGGGGCCCGCACAAGCGGUGGAGCAUGUGGUUUAAUUCGAUGCAACGCGAAGAACCUUACCUGGUCUUGACAUACACAGAAUCUUGUAGAGAUACGAGAGUGCCUUCGGGAAUUGUGAUACAGGUGCUGCAUGGCUGUCGUCAGCUCGUGUCGUGAGAUGUUGGGUUAAGUCCCGCAACGAGCGCAACCCUUGUCCUUAGUUACCAGCGGGUUAAGCCGGGAACUCUAAGGAUACUGCCAGUGACAAACUGGAGGAAGGCGGGGACGACGUCAAGUCAUCAUGGCCCUUACGACCAGGGCUACACACGUGCUA
rnacentral:rRNA from 1 species